AUGGUUAACACCAUGUUAGACACUUCGGGUCUAUCCAAGGAAUGGUGGGGGGAGGCGCAAAUGACUGCGUGUCAUGUCCUAAACCGAGUUCCCACAAAGCAUAAGACCAUGACUCCAUUUGAGGAAUGGGAAAAGAAAAGGUUGAAACUCUCUUACCUACGUACUUGGGGUUGUUUGGCGAAACUCAAUAUACCAAUUCCCAAGAAGCGCAAGCUUGGACCAAAAACCGAGGAUUGUGUUCUUAUGGGCUAUGCUUUUCGUAGCAUCGGCUAUAGAUUUUUGAUAAUAAAAUCUGAGGUAUCCGACAUGCAUGUUGGUACGAUUAUGGAAUCAAAUGUUGCAACUUUCUUUGAGGACAUAUUUCCUAUGAAGGAUAUGUCGAGUUCAUCAAAUCAGGAGAUACCUACUCCAUCUAGUGAGGAAUUCACUGUAAUUCCUGAACCCACCAUUGCGAUGGAACACGUUGAUAAUCCUGUUGAGGGUAACAAUGGAACUCCUGUGAGGAGUAAGAGACAGAGGACUGCAAAGUCUUUUGGUGAUGAUUUCAUUGUGUACCUCGUGGAUGACACACCCAGGACUAUUUCAGAAGCCUAUGCAUCUCCUGAUGCUGACUAUUGGAAGGAAGCUGUACGUAGCGAGAUGGAUUCCAUCUUAGCUAACGGUACCUGGGAGAUCACUGACCGUCCAUAUGGGUGCAAAGUUGUAGGAUGUAAGUGGGUGUUCAAGAAGAAGCUUAGACCUGAUGGUACGAUUGAAAAGUACAAGGCACGGCUUGUGGCCAAGGGUUAUACCCAGAAAGAAGGUGAAUACUUCUUUGAUACUUACUCACCCGUGGCUGGACUGACCACAAUUCGGGUGCUACUAUCACUGGCUGCCUCACAUGGUCUUCUCGUCCAUCAAAUGGACGUUAAGACGGCUUUCCUUAAUGGAGAGUUGAAGGAGGAAAUUUACAUGGAUCAGCCAGAUGGUGUUGUAGUACCUGGUCAGGAAGGAAAGGUGUGCAAGUUAUUAAAGUCUUUAUAUGGCCUUAAACAAGCUCCUAAGGAGUGGCAUGAGAAGUUCGAAAGAACAUUAACUGCCGCCGGCUUUGUAGUAAACAAUGAUGACAAGUGCGUGUACUAUCGCUAUGGUGGGGGCGAAGGAGUUAUUCUUUGUCUGUAUGUCGACGACAUAUUGAUCUUUGGAACCAAACUUGACUUAAUCAAGGAGGUUAAGGAUUUCUUAUCUUGCUGUUUUGAGAUGAAGGAUCUAGGAGUAGCUGAUGUUAUCUUAAACAUCAAGCUGUUGAGAGAUGAGAAUGUGCCACGAGGCCUGACAUCUCUUUUGCUGUGA
rnacentral:rRNA from 1 species